GACGAACGCUGGCGGCGUGCCUAAUACAUGCAAGUCGAGCGAACUUGCGGGAGCUUGCUCCCAAAAGUUAGCGGCGGACGGGUGAGUAACACGUGGGCAACCUGCCUAUAAGACUGGGAUAACUUCGGGAAACCGGAGCUAAUACCGGAUAAUUCCUUUCCUCUCAUGAGGAAAAGCUGAAAGACGGUUUCGGCUGUCACUUAUAGAUGGGCCCGCGGCGCAUUAGCUAGUUGGUGAGGUAACGGCUCACCAAGGCAACGAUGCGUAGCCGACCUGAGAGGGUGAUCGGCCACACUGGGACUGAGACACGGCCCAGACUCCUACGGGAGGCAGCAGUAGGGAAUCUUCCGCAAUGGACGAAAGUCUGACGGAGCAACGCCGCGUGAGUGAUGAAGGUUUUCGGAUCGUAAAACUCUGUUGUUAGGGAAGAACAAGUACGAGAGUAACUGCUCGUACCUUGACGGUACCUAACCAGAAAGCCACGGCUAACUACGUGCCAGCCGCCGCAGUAACAC
rnacentral:rRNA from 1 species